GCCGCCGGCCCCCCUCCCUCGCUGAGAGCCGCCGCCGCCGCGUCCCCCGCCCCCCCUUUUCCCUCGCUGAGAGCCUGAUAGCCGCCUCCUCUCGGUGUCGUCGCCUCUUCAACGACCGGCCGGCGGCUCUUCGCGUCCUUCUCCCCCGGACGGCAACCUCCGCGGCUCCGGUCACCGACUCACAGUCACCGGCUUAUGUCAAUGGCAAGCGAAAGUUCACCUAUUCUUAUGGCGGAUAAUGAGCAUUAGGAUUGUGGUGGAUAAUGAGCAUGAGGAUUGUUACUUUUGCCCAUUUCUAGAUUCCAAACAAAAAAAAAAAAAAUCGGGCCUGUCGGGUCGGGCCUGUCGGGUCGGGCCUGUCGUGUCGGGCCGGUCGGGUCGGGCCGGUCGGGUCGGGCCUGGGACCAGAUUUAUAAGGUUGGGUCGGGCCUGGACAAAAAUUUAAGCCCGACAGUCGGGCCGGGCCGGGUCUGGGCAUAGCCAUCGGGCCUAAUUUCUGCUGUAGAGCCCGGCCCGAGCCCGGCCCGGCCCGGGUUUUGAUCAUAAGCUAAUAGGAUCGAAAAAAUAUCAUUGAUUAAAUUCUUAGCUUAUAUAAUUCUUAAUUCUUAUUUUGCAAUUCAGUUGGACCCCAAAAAUUAUUUCUAAAAUAAUUUCACAAAUAAAUAUUUCAUUUAUAAUAAUAAUAAAAUACAAUGAAAACAAUAUUUUUAUUAUUUGAUAAUUUCUUAAAUAAGAAAGAGUAUGCGAUACCUAAUUUCGUUUUGGAUUUUGCAAUAAAAAAAUAGCAGGUAAUUAAAAUACAAAUAAUUAAGAGCAUGGCAACUCCUAGAUUCGGGAAUUUAGAAACAAAAGUAGUUGCAAGGAUAAUAAAAGACACAUGAUUCUGGCCAGACACAAAACUAACGAACUUUCAGCCCGCACACAAAUUUCCUUAAAAAAAGAACAAGAUAAAUCAUAAAACAUCACCAUCAGCAAAAAAAGUACGAACCCUAAAACCAAAAAGGAGACGGCAAUCAAAACCCAGAAACCGAGACCAGAAGCUGCGGAAUCAGAAUCAAGCAAAGAUCGGCAAAAUAAGAAUCUUGGAAUUGAAGAUGGGAAAAGAAAUGGUCUUCCCAUUUCACUAACAAUAUU